AGUCAUCCACAUUGUAUUUCAAUCUUUUUUAGAUCCAUCAUAUGGAUUAUCCGGGCUCCGAUUUUGCUAAAUUGAAAUACACUGAUGCAUAUCUCCUACUAAUUUGGAGGGAUCAAUCUCAUCUUGACUCACACACCGACUUGACAAGUAUUUGAUUAUACCCAAAAACUUUUUGUCACUGAAUUAAAACUUAAUUAGUCUGAUAUCAAAGUAUAGUGAGUUGCUAGUAAGUCACGUGGUGAUCUC
rnacentral:lncRNA from 1 species